rnacentral:rRNA from 1 species
GUAACAUGGAUUGCUUGCAAUCUGAUGACGAGUGGCGCACGGGUGCGUAACGCGUAUGCAAUCUACCUUUUACAGGAGAAUAGCCCAGAGAAAUUUGGAAUAAUGCUCCAUAAUAUCAUUUAUCAGCAUUGGUUUAUGAUUAAAGCUCCGGCGGUAAAAGAUGAGCAUGCGUUCUAUUAGCUAGUAGGUGAGGUAACGGCUCACCUAGGCUACGAUAGAUAGGGGCCCUGAGAGGGGGAUCCCCCACACUGGUACUGAGACACGGACCAGGCUCCUACGGGAGGCAGCAGUGAGGAAUAUUGGACAAUGGAGGAAACUCUGAUCCAGCCAUGCCGCGUGCAGGAUGACUGCCCUAUGGGUUGUAAACUGCUUUUAUAUAGGAAGAAACACUCCCGCGUGUGGGGGCUUGACGGUACUAUAUGAAUAAGGAUCGGCUAACUCCGUGCCAGCAGCCGCGGUAAUACGGAGGAUCCAAGCGUUAUCCGGAAUCAUUGGGUUUAAAGGGUCCGCGGGCGGCCUGUUAAGUCAGAGGUGAAAUCCUACAGCUCGACUGUAGAACUGCCUUUGAUACUGAUAGGCUUGAGUUAUUGUGAAGUGGUUAGAAUGUGUGGUGUAGCGGUGAAAUGCUUAGAUAUCACACAGAAUACCCAUUGCGAAGGCAGAUCACUAACAAUAUACUGACGCUCAUGGACGAAAGCGUGGGGAGCGAACGGGAUUAGAUACCCCGGUAGUCCACGCCGUAAACGAUGGAUACUAACUGUUCGACCUUCGGGUUGAGUGGUCAAGCGAAAGUGAUAAGUAUCC